rnacentral:lncRNA from 1 species
CUCUGUUCUUUUUAGAGCACCUCUUCCCUUACCUUCCUCUUAAUCACUCAAUCCUUUGAAGAUAUAUAUAUCAAUGAGAAGGAAAAUCCUUUCCUAAAGCUAGCAGCUCACAGUUAGCAUCUCAUUGAAAUUUCACAAGGAGGAGCACUGAGCAUGUUUGAAGAGAUUCGUUGACAUUUAUGAUCCAGUUCUACUCACCAGUAUUUAUCACCUUUGUCUGCAAGAAAUAUGCUUACAAUCACAGCUCCCUGAAAACUGCCUGGGAUCCCUCCUCCCUAGAGCACCAUGAAGCCAGCUUCCCCCUCUCCAGGCCAUGGAAGGGC